rnacentral:rRNA from 1 species
AGUCAACAUGCCCAGGGGACGUGGAUAACCUCGGGAAACUGAGGAUAAACCGCGAUAGGUCAUCACUUCUGGAAUGGGUAAUGACUUAAAUCUAUAUGGCCCCUGGAUUGGACUGCGGCCGAUCAGGCUGUUGGUGAGGUAAUGGCCCACCAAACCUGUAACCGGUACGGGCUCUGAGAGGAGGAGCCCGGAGAUGGGCACUGAGACAAGGGCCCAGGCCCUAUGGGGCGCAGCAGGCGCGAAACCUCUGCAAUAGGCGAAAGCUUGACAGGGUUACUCUGAGUGAUUUCCGUUAAGGAGAUCUUUUGGCACCUCUAAAAAUGGUGCAGAGUAAGGGGUGGGCAAGUCUGGUGUCAGCCGCCGCGGUAAUACCAGCACCCCGAGUGGUCGGGACGUUUAUUGGGCCUAAAGCAUCCGUAGCCGGUUCUACAAGUCUUCCGUUAAAUCCACCUGCUUAACAGAUGGGCUGCGGAAGAUACUAUAGAGCUAGGAGGCGGGAGAGGCAAGCGGUACUCGAUGGGUAGGGGUAAAAUCCGUUGAUCCAUUGAAGACCACCAGUGGCGAAGGCGGCUUGCCAGAACGCGCUCGACGGUGAGGGAUGAAAGCUGGGGGAGCAAACUGGAUUAGAUACCCGGGUAGUCCCAGCUGUAAACGAUGCAGACUCGGUGAUGAGUUGGCUUAUUGCUAACUCAGUGCCGCAGGGAAGCCGUUAAGUUUGCCGCCUGGGGAGUACGGUCGCAAGACUGAAACUUAA